rnacentral:rRNA from 1 species
UUUUUCCCCCCCGGGAAAAACUACAUAUCAAUAAGCGGAGGAAAAGAAACCAACAGGGAUUGCCCUAGUAACGGCGAGUGAAGCGGCAACAGCUCAAAUUUGAAAUCUGGCUCUUUUAGAGUCCGAGUUGUAAUUUGCAGAGGGCGCUUUGGCUUUGGCAGCGGUCCAAGUUCCUUGGAACAGGACGUCACAGAGGGUGAGAAUCCCGUACGUGGUCGCUGGCUAUUGCCGUGUAAAGCCCCUUCGACGAGUCGAGUUGUUUGGGAAUGCAGCUCUAAAUGGGAGGUACAUUUCUUCUAAAGCUAAAUAUUGGCCAGAGACCGAUAGCGCACAAGUAGAGUGAUCGAAAGAUGAAAAGCACUUUGGAAAGAGAGUCAAACAGCACGUGAAAUUGUUGAAAGGGAAGCGCUUGCAGCCAGACUUGCUUACAGUUGCUCAUCCGGGUUUCUACCCGGUGCACUCUUCUGUAGGCAGGCCAGCAUCAGUUUGGGCGGUAGGAUAAAGGUCUCUGUCACGUACCUCCUUUCGGGGAGGCCUUAUAGGGGAGACGACAUACUACCAGCCUGGACUGAGGUCCGCGCAUCUGCUAGGAUGCUGGCGUAAUGGCUGUAAGCGGCCCGUCUUGAAACACGGACCAAGGAGUCUAACAUCUAUGCGAGUGUUUGGGUGUCAAGCCCGAGCGCGUAAUGAAAGUGAACGGAGGUGGGAACCCGCAAGGGUGCACCAUCGACCGAUCCUGAUGUCUUCGGAAGGAUUUGAGUAAGAGCAUGGCUGUUGGGACCCGAAAGAUGGUGAACUAUGCUUGAAUAGGGUGAAGCCAGAGGAAACUCUGGUGGAGGCUCGCAGCGGUUCUGACGUGCAAAUCGAUCGUCAAAUUUGGGCAUAGGGGCGAAAGACUAAUCGAACUAUCUAGUAGCUGGUUCCUGCGAGUUUCUCUUUCCUGCGAAGAAAA